GCCGGGUGCGGUGGCAUGUGCCUGUAAUCCAAGUCACUGGGAGGCUGAGGUUGGUGGAUCAAGUGAGCUGAGGAGCUCUGGCUGCAGCACUCUAUGUCGAACGGUGUCCAACGCUAAGGUCGGUAUCGAUAUGGUGUUCCUUGGGGGAGCCCGGGACCACCAGGUUGUCUAAGGAGGGGUGAACCGGCCCAGGUCGGAAAACGAAGCAGGUCAAAUCCCCCGUGCUGUCCAGUAGUGGGAUACUACCUGUGAGUAGAUGCUGCAGUGCAGCCUUGGCAUAACAUCGAUACCCAGUCUUUC
rnacentral:SRP_RNA from 1 species